rnacentral:rRNA from 1 species
CCUACGGGUGGCAGCAGUGAGGAAUAUUGGUCAAUGGACGAGAGUCUGAAGCAGCGAAGUAGCGUGAAGGAUGACGGCCCUAUGGGUUGUAAACUUCUUUUAUAGGGGAAUAAAUUGUCCCACGUGUGGGAUUUUGUAUGUACCAUAUGAAUAAGGAUCGGCUAACUCCGUGCCAGCAGCCGCGGUAAUACGGAGGAUCCGAGCGUUAUCCGGAUUUAUUGGGUUUAAAGGGAGCGUAGAUGGAUGGUUAAGUCAGUUGUGAAGGUUUGCGGCUCAACCGUAAAAUUGCAGUUGAAACUGGCAGUCUUGAGUACAGUAGAGGUGGGCGGAAUUCGUGGUGUAGCGGUGAAAUGCUUAGAUAUCACGAAGAACUCCAAUUGCGAAGGCAGUUCACUGGACUGCAACUGACACUGAGGCUCGAAAGUGUGGGUAUCAAACAGGAUUAGAUACCCCUGUAGUC